GAUGAACGCUCGCUGCAGGCUUAACACAUGCAAGUCGAACGACCGGCGCGCGGGAGAGUAACACGUAUCCAACCUGCCCUUUACUCGGAGAUAGCCUUUCGAAAGCAAGAUUAGUACCCGAUAUAAAGGAUGGGGAUGCGUUGCAUUAGGUUGUUGGUGAGGUAACGGCUGACCAAGCCUUCGAUGGAUAGGGGUUCUGAGAGGAAGGUCCCUCACAUUGGAACGGGGACACGGGCCAAACGCCUACGGGAGGUAGCAGUGAGGAAUAUUGGUGAAUGGGCGCUAGCCUGAACCAGCCAAGUAGUGUGAAGGAUGAAGGCUUAUGGGUCGUAAACUUCUUUUAUAUAAGAAUAUGUAUUAUAGGAAUAAGGAUCGGCUAACUCCGUGCCAGCAGCCGCGGUAUAC
rnacentral:rRNA from 1 species